GAUAAACGCUGGCGGCGCACAUAAGACAUGCAAGUUGAACGGACUUAAUCGAAAUAUUUCUAUUUUGAAGCGGUUAGUGGCGGACUGGUGAGUAACGCGUAAGGAACCUGCCUAUUAGAGGGGAAUAACAGUGAGAAAUCAUUGCUAAUACCGCAUAUGCCAUAGAUAUCACAUGAUAACAGUGGGAAAGGAGCAAUCCGCUAAUAGAUGGCCUUGCGUCUGAUCAGAUAGUUGGUGGGGUAACGGCCUACCAAGUCGACGAUCAGUAGCCGGACUGAGAGGUUGAACGGCCACAUUGGGACUGAGAUACGGCCCAGACUCCUACGGGAGGCAGCAGUCGGGAAUAUUGCGCAAUGGAGGAAACUCUGACGCAGUGACGCCGCGUAUAGGAAGAAGGUUUUCGGAUUGUAAACUAUUGUCGUUAGGGAAGAGAAAGGACAGUACCUAAGGAGGAAGCUCCGGCUAACUACGUG
rnacentral:rRNA from 1 species